AUCCAACUGACGAAUCUCAAAUAGGACGAAACGCGCGAAUUCCUGAAU
rnacentral:hammerhead_ribozyme from 1 species